UGGGGGAAAUGUCUCAAAUACUUGCUGG
rnacentral:piRNA from 1 species